rnacentral:rRNA from 1 species
UACGAAGGGGGCGAGCGUUGUUCGGAUUUACUGGGCGUAAAGGGCGCGCAGGCGGUCUUGAAAGUCAGGCGUGAAAGCCCCGGGCUUAACCUGGGAAUUGCGCUUGAUACUCUGAGACUGGAGUACGGGAGAGGAGAGUGGAAUUCCCAGUGUAGAAGGUGAAAUUCGUAGAUAUUGGGAAAGAACACCAGUGGCGAAGGCGGCUCUCUGGACCGUAACUGACGCUGAGGCGCGAAAAGCGUGGGGGAGCAAACAGGG